AGUUGGCUGUCCAGUACACAGCAACACCUUCUGCUAAAGAAAUGUGAAAAGAAAAGCGGAGACGUGCUAUUUGGAAACAAUCCUCCUGUUCAACACCCAGGAGCUUUCCGGUGACCUAUUUCAGCCUUGCUUCUCUUUUUCUGAUGGUUCAUGUCAGCAUGAUGAGGAAGAAGAAGUCAUCAGUGGAUGAGCAAGGUUCUCUCUGGCUCCCACAGUCUCCUGAUCUGGGGCAUCUUAAGAAUAUAUUGGAUGCAGGAGAGUAUGGCUCUUUUGUAUCUCCUCCCAUACUGGAGAGCAAUUUUAUUCAGGUCAAUAGGAGAGGUGAAUCUAUUUAUCUGCAUAAUGGAGCGAACUGGGUGACCGUAGGCAUCUGUUCUUCCAAUCCCAUCCUCAAGACCCCCAAUGUGAUGCUGUUGGCACAUCUGACACCAGAGGCUCGAAAAGAAUCAGAACCCCUCUUUAAAAGCCUCCUGACAUCUCCCUCUACAGAGAAGGUGGUGCUCACCAGGUUUCUCCCUCUGCAGUUUGUGACUCUUUCUGUGCACAGUGCUAAGAACAUGCGACUCAAAGUAAAGCUGAUAAGUGGCCGAGCCUACUAUUUACAGCUCUGUGCUCCUGUGUAUAAACAGGAUAUUAUAUUUUCUCAGUGGGUGGACCUCAUCACCCUCUUGUAUCAGAAGAAAGCCAGAACUUCCAAAGUAUCAGAGGUCUCAAGCCUCUCAGAGAUCACAAACAGCACAGACAUCACAAGCUCAAUGGACAUCAUGGACAUCGCAGCUUUUGCAGAGCUGCGGGCCGCGCACUCACACACUCGGAUACAUUCUGCUAACACCACCGAAAGCGCAGACUUCUCAGAAUAUACAGAUGUCACCGAUAUCACAGAUGUCACUGAUGUUCCAGAAAAUGGGGCCACAGAUGUUCCAGAUAUAAGAAUUGUCACAGAAGUCACAGAAGUCACAGAAGACGUCAAAGAACCCAAAGAGGCCACAAACAUCUCAGAGGUCACAAUAGUAUUUGAAAACGAUGACAUAAUAAAGGCCAAGCAAGAGGAAAAGGAAAAUGUCCUGAAGCAUGGGUGUCUACGAGACACGAAAAGUAAGAACCAGCUCAGAGAAUCCCCCAAACAUGUCACCAUCUCAAACUUAACACUCACUUUCCAAGGCGAGAAAUGUUUUCAGACUACUUUGACUCCUGUAAAAAGUGAGGAAAAUAUAUCCAAAGAAAAGUGUGAUAAAACCUUGGAAGGAAAGAUGACUGAUCUUCCAAAAACAGAUCUCAAGGCUAAAGAAUCCAGGAGUACAAGGAAUGAUUCAAACACUUCAGGCUUGCACAGCUUUUCAGUCUUCCCCCUGAUUAGCGUCUCUUUCCCCCUUUUCACGCUCCUCUGACUAGCGUUUCCCUCCCACACAUUCUUACCACUUGGUAAUACUCUUCACCUCAGGAAAGCAAAGACUACCACACUCUAAAGCUCCACGCUAUUAAAUUCAGGCUGCACGAAGAUUAAAAGUGUGUCUGUAAUCCUAAUUUCUAGGUAAGGCCAGAAAUAAUAAUGCUGCCCAAAGAAGGAAAAUAAAUCGUAGUGCAAAGUUGUCUGAUUCUCCCGCUCCCAGCUCCCAGGAAGUGCUGGUUGAGGACAGAGACAUCCGAUUCAUCCCCCAUACACCUCUGCAGUGGAAGGGGGUUACUUUCUCUUCUUUCUGCACAAUGUUUUAUGGAAAGUGGCACUUUCAAAUGCACUGUUUCUAUAAGCAAGGCCGGGGGAUGACAGGGCAGAUCUCAAGCUAGACCUGUUGCUCCGACCUGAGUCCAUGUCUCUCCUUUCUUGACUUUUCAUUUCUUACCUUUCAAAGCUUCAUUCUCCCCAGCCUUUUCUGAUUUCUUUGUAGAGAGCCCAGACUUUUCUAUGAUGCCACAGUAAUUUUCCUAGAUGGAAAAAAAAAUGAGACCAAAGAUAAAGGUUUGAGAAAUGAGAGGGAAAUCAUAUAUGAAAUACUCAGUUUCCUUCCCACCCGCCUGCUUCUUUUUUCAUCAUCCUGUUCAAUAUUACAAAUCAAACUCUAAAAGUGGCCACGUUCAUCCCCUGCUUGUGAAACUGGAACUAAAAGGACAAGGGAGGAAGGCCCCGAAGGGACCAGGGGGAAUGUACAGAAGACACGUAAAACAGAAAAAGUCACAGUCGCUGGAGAAGCCUAUCGGAUGACCUAAAGAUCAGUACAAACUACUAAACUAAAAACAAAGCCCAACUCAGGAAAAGGCGAUCUCUUCAAGAGGGAAACAGCAGUAUCUUUUAUGUGGCAGAAAUAAAGAGUACUACUAACCACUCAGAA